ACGCGCAGGCCGCAGACGGCCCGCCCCCGGAUGCGUCCGAGGGCGGUGCCGCCGGCCACACGCCCAUUCUUGUCUAUCUACCUGGUUGCCUCGGCGGGCCGCGCACUCGUGCCGCCCGGGGAUGUUUAUCUCCCUGGACCGCGCCCGCCGGAGGAGCGAUUAAAACCCAUGAAUACUGUUCAGUCUGAGCGUAAGCAAGUGAAAUCAGUUAA
rnacentral:misc_RNA from 1 species